UAAAAAAGGAGUCUAAGAACCUUUCAAAAAAAUAAGGCGGAACCGAAAAGCCAAAUGAGUAGGAUAUUU
rnacentral:ncRNA from 1 species